rnacentral:lncRNA from 1 species
UUAAAAGGAAAAUCAGCCUAGAAAUCAAGGCAUUUCGGCAGAACAAAAGGGGAAAUUGAAAAACCUAAAAGCUUGCCCUUAUUCCAUCCGCCGUUCGACCCCCAUUCUGCCAUUGUAAUCGAUGGACAGUGGUCCAAAGUGGUUCCUCACGUUCAAGGUUCGUCAAUUUCGACCUUGAAAUCUCCUCUCAAACUCCAAUGUCUACGAAGGAGAUGAGGAUUUCAGUCGUUUAUUCACGAAGGUAAACUCCCUCCUUAUUUCAUUAUACUAAGAAAACACAUAUAAAACAAAAAGAAAGAGGAAAAACAGAUUCAAAAGAGGAAACACAAGACGCACGAAAUCACCUUUUUUAAUUUUUUGGUUGCUUUUGUAUUCAAUAUGCCUUUUUUUGUGCGUGUUCUCUGUGAGCGUAAAAAACUUACAAGUGAUUCUCUUUAGGCUUUAUAGUCGAGAGAAGAAAAAUAAAAAUAAAAUAUACAAUUUUUUGCUAUUUUCUUGUGUCUGUUGUUUUCUUGUGUUUGGUGUGCAGGUACGGGUGCUGUGCUGGCAUACGGAGGCGCGGGCGUGGCUGCUGGAGGGUACGGAGGCUAGGGCUACUGUCCGGUUGUGGCGCAUCUGCUGCUAGGGCUAGGGUUUGCCAAAUUUGGUUUAGUAUUUGGGCCGUUUGGGCUCAUUUUGGGUGUUGGGCCAUUGUCUUUGGGUCAUGGGGUUUAUUUAGGAUUGGAUUUUGAGUAAUUUUGAUAUUUGGUUUUAUUUAUUGUAUUUUUUAUUGCUUGUACGGGCCCGGGCCAAAAUUGGGCCUUACAAUCAUCAUUUUAAAAUCCUUUUUGCAUUAAGCUAUUUUAAUACUUUUAUAUAACCUCUUGUUUAAAUAUUUUUAUAUAUAUAUUAAUACAUCUAUUACUUUAAUAGAUUUUUCUAUUUAAAAUACUUCUUGCUUUAUGAUUCAGCAAGUAUUUUUCUUUAUGAAUAUAUGAAACUAUUUUAGGAACUUCAUCUUUGUAUUUAUAAAAUUGUUAUUUUGGAAUGUUUCUUUAUAUUAUAUUAUUUUUAUGUUUUAUAUAGUAUCUCAUUUGAAUGUUUUCUAUGUAUAAUGGUACGUAUAUAAUUUAUAGAUUAACUUAAUUUUUUAUAUAUAAUCUCAUGCUAUUUUUACAAUAAAUCUAUUUAUAUAUGCAUGUUUUGUAAAUCUAUUAUGUGUAUUAUAUCUUAUCAUGUAUUUUUAUUAUUCUUUUAUAUUUUACAUAUUAUUUAAGUUAUCGUGUACAUUGUCAAUUUUUAAAUGAAUUUGUGUUUAAAAUAUUUUGCCUAUAAUUUGAUUCAAACUUUUAUUCUAUAAUAUCUAUUUCCAUAAUUAUAUAUCCCUAGUUUUUAUGCAAAUUUGUCAACUUAUAUAUUAUGUGUUCAUUAAUUCAUCAUUAUUUUGGAAAAUGUCUUAUACCGCAUUGACUUCUAAAUUCCAUUUUGUUUUGUACAUGUUUUGUUGGUUGAUUUAUAUGGUGCCAUACAUUGUCGUUGCAUAUUAUUUAUUCAUUGUUUUGUAUUGUUAUAUUAAUUAUUCGCCGUACAUGCUUGAAAAUUG